GUGGGGAAUCUUGCGCAAUGGGCGAAAGCCUGACGCAGCCAUGCCGCGUGAAUGAUGAAGGUCUUAGGAUUGUAAAAUUCUUUCACCGGGGACGAUAAUGACGGUACCCGGAGAAGAAGCUCCGGCUAACUUCGUGCCAGCAGCCGCGGUAAUACGAAGGGGGCUAGCGUUGCUCGGAAUUACUGGGCGUAAAGGGCGCGUAGGCGGACAGCUUAGUCAGAGGUGAAAGCCCAGGGCUCAACCUUGGAAUUGCCUUUGAUACUGGCUGUCUUGAGUUUGGGAGAGGUGAGUGGAACUCCGAGUGUAGAGGUGAAAUGCGUAGAUAUCGGGAGGAACACCAGUGGCGAAGGCGACUUCCUGGCACAAUACUGACGCUCAUGUGCGAAAGCUAGGGUAGCGAACGGGAUUAGAAACCCCAGUAGUCC
rnacentral:rRNA from 1 species